CUGGUGGAUCAAGAGGAGAAGGAGGAGGACAUGGUGCUGGGAUGAGGACAGUCCCCCAGCAGCACGACAGGCACGUCCUGGCCAUGCCCUGCCCCAGGGUCACCUGCUGUGUGUGCCAGGCUGGGGGCACAGGGAACACCCAGCAGGGCCCGACUGCACUGACCGUGCCCUUGCUUUUCUUCCAGGACUGACGGACACGCCGGCCAUGGAAUCGGCCACCUCUACAUAUGUUUUUCACCUUUUUCUGUAAAUAUGUUUUCUAUUGUUCACUUUUUAAGAAGCUUGUAGUUUGUAUAGAGAAGAUAGUUUAAGAAGAUAGAUUUUUAAUAAGAAGAUAAUUUUUUGAUAAGACAAGUUUUUUUAAGAACAUAAGGUU